rnacentral:rRNA from 1 species
UGGACAACCUGCCCUCAGCUCUGGGACAACUCCGGGAAACCGGGGCUAAUACCGGAUACGACCGUCCCUCGCAUGGGGGUUGGUGGAAAGUUCUUCGGCUGAGGAUGGGCCCGCGGCCUAUCAGCUUGUUGGUGGGGUGAUGGCCUACCAAGGCGACGACGGGUAGCCGGCCUGAGAGGGUGACCGGCCACACUGGGACUGAGGCACGGCCCAGACUCCUACGGGAGGCA